rnacentral:lncRNA from 9 species
UGAAAUGAGCAAUAGGCAGUCGGCGAUUACUGACUAAUGGGAUUUUAUUCCUCUCUUGGUAGCCAGGAGGAUGAAGCAGUGACUUUGGCCGCUGUGGAAGGGUUCCACCUGCUACGUGUCCCCCAGCAUGUCUGCUGAAAGCCUUCAACCCUUGGGGACACCAUCUCCUCACCCGUCCUCAACUUUCACCCAUCCCACCCCGUCCUUAUCUUCCGAGGAGGAGGGAGCUACUGAAGGAGAUGAAGAGAGUUCAAUGGGCGAAUCUUUAUCUCCUGAAAAGGACGAGUCUCCGGAGGAAGACCUGUACCUGGAAGAGGAGGAAAUUUAUCUCAAAGGAAAGGAGUGCCUGUAUGAACAAGCAUAUCUGAAGGCCCAGCAGUAUCUGCAGAAGGAAAAGUUUCUGGAAGGGGAAGAGGUUCUGUAUGAAAGGUAUCUGCCAGAGGAAUUCAAGGCUUAUUCAUCGCAUAUCCUGCCUAAUCUUAAAGCAAGGUAACAUUUUUUUUUAUUUUUAUAAAUUAGAUAGAAAUUCAAUUUUAGGGAUGAUGCUUCA